rnacentral:misc_RNA from 1 species
GAUGAAGAACGCAGCGAAAUGCGAUAAGUAAUGCGAAUUGCAGAAUUCAGUGAGUCAUCGAAUCUUUGAACGCACAUUGCGCCCUGUGGUAUUCCACAGGGCAUGCCUGUUCGAGCGUCAUUUCAACCCUCAAGCUCUGCUUGGUGUUGGGCCCUGCCCGCUGCGGCCGGCCCUAAAGACAGUGGCGGUGCCGCCUGGCCCUGAGCGUAGUACAUCUCUCGCUCCAGUGCCCGGUGGUAGCCUGCCAGAACCCCAACUCUCGUGGUUGACCUCGGAUCAGGUAGGGAUACCCGCUGAACUUAAGCAUAUCAAUAAGCGGAGGA